rnacentral:rRNA from 1 species
GACGAACGCUGGCGGCGUGCUUAACACAUGCAAGUCGAGCGGUAAGGCCCUUUCGGGGGUACACGAGCGGCGAACGGGUGAGUAACACGUGGGUGACCUGCCCUCAGCUCUGGGAUAAGCCCGGGAAACUGGGUCUAAUACCGGAUAUGACUCCAUGACGCAUGUUGUGGGGUGGAAAGCCUUGUGCGGCUGAGGAUGGGCCCGCGGCCUAUCAGCUUGUUGGUGGGGUGAUGGCCUACCAAGGCGACGACGGGUAGCCGGCCUGAGAGGGCGACCGGCCACACUGGGACUGAGAUACGGCCCGGACUCCUACGGGAGGCAGCAGUGGGGAAUCUUGCGCAAUGGGCGAAAGCCUGACGCAGCGACGCCGCGUGAGGGAUGACGGCCUCGG